AAAUUUGGUGCCAUGUGUUUUGGGAAAUUCGGCCAAAUCCAAAGGGUGAUUUUUUGGGUUCAUGUUUGUCUUAUUAAAAUGGUUUUAAAGUGACUUUUGGAACCCCUAAGUACCCUAGGAUGUUAGCCCUCUUUUGAAUGGUGAAAAUUUGAGUUUUGGUAAGUGAAAACAUUCAUGGAGCUAUUAUGAGUUUUCAUGAGUGUUCUUCAAUGUUCUUGAAGUUCUUGCCAAGAACAUAAAGUUUUGAAGUUUUGAUUCAAAAGUUUUAUGUUUUUCAUAAAGUUUUGGUUUAAAUUUUGAUGAUUGAGGUUAUUGGUGAGAUGUGAUGAAAUGAUUUUAAUAUUUGUCAUAAUUAGUCAUAGACUUUAUUUUUCAAACAAAUCAUCACUUUCAUCCUUUUCCUCACCCACCAAAAACCACUAGCAAAAUUUUUUUAGAUAUUUUUUCAAAUUUUUCCCAAAUGGCCGGCCACCCCAAGUGGGGUUAUUUUUGGGGCCUUUUGUGCAAUUACAUAAAGUUUUAGAUACUUUUGUGUAUUUGCAUUUUAGCCCAAAAAGUUUACGUUUUUACGUUGUGGCCCAAAUGUUGUGGUCAUAGUUUCCUUUUGGCCCAAAAGGAUGAGAACAAAAUUGUUUUGUCUCUUUAAAUGAGAAUUGGAUUUUCAUUUCAUUUAGUUCCAUUUAAAUCAAUUCUAUGGAUCCAAAAACCAAUUGUUUAAAGUUGUUUUCUUAGUUAAUUUGAUUGAUUAAGAAAAGGGUGAUUAUGAACCAAAGGCCACGAUAAUUGAGCUAUGUGAUUGGCCGAUAUACAUUAUGAAUGUUUGGGUUGGUAGUGUAGAUUUGAAUGUAAUUUGAUUAAUUCAAUUUGUUGUAAAUGGACAUAAGUCCAUCAUUUGAUUUAUGUUGUAAAAGGGCAUAAGCUCUUAUUAUUAUUUCAUGUAUUCCUUUUUGUUUAUAUGUAUGCAAAAUGGAAUAGUUGGGGUCCAACGCCCAAUAGGAAAUAACGGUUUAAUUGGAUUAAACGCGUAACUAAAAUCAACAACUAUCUACCUUAAACCCAAGGUCCAACACAAGGCUCGUGUUGGAUCAAAUCAAACGGUUCAUAAUCAUCCUAAAACCUAAUAUGACUAUAUAGUCCAUAUGAGGAUGCAAUGCAUUCGUUAGUAGUUCCAUAUAGUCUCGCUUGUUUCAACGAAACAGUGGGAGUAUUAUAUGCUACUAAAUCAUAUUAACUUGGACCAAUGGUUGUGAUAGGCCCAAGUUCUUUUAAUGUGAUUAAAAUGUUUUGAUGUAGCCCAAAACUACUCCCUCAAAUCAAAUAUUAAGUUGAUAAGCGAGAGAUGUUUUGAACAUCUCUUCGUAGGCCUUCCACCGUGGUGGGUUCCAAGCGUUUGUGACUCAUGCACCGGCUUCACCCUAUCAUGGGGAAGUACAAAGCAUGUGCUUACAUCCAGGAGGAAUCCAUAUACAUAUGAUGAGGUGAGUGUAGGCAACAAGGAUAGCUGACAUCGUAUCAUCGUGAGGCUAUUCUUGAACCCCUAUACAAACUAAGCAUGGUGGGAAUAACUUAACUAAGUGCAAUGAAGCCAACAUCGUAUCAUCGUGAGGCAACAUUCUCUAGAGGCCAAACAGAUGGGUAAUUACAAACGUUGUAAAUGAAUAAUGCGUUAUUCUCUCAUCAUUAUUUUUGCUAGCCAACAUCGUAUCAUCGUGAGGUGGGC
rnacentral:lncRNA from 1 species